rnacentral:rRNA from 1 species
GUGAGGGAUUUUGCGCAAUGGGGGCAACCCUGACGCAGCAACGCCGCGUGAGUGAUGAAGGCCUUCGGGUCGUAAAGCUCUGUAGGGUGGGAAGAAGGUGUCAUAUUAUAAUAAGGUAUGAUAUUGACGGUACCGCCGAAGGAAGCACCGGCUAACUCCGUGCCAGCAGCCGCGGUAACACGGAGGGUGCAAGCGUUAUUCGGAAUCAUUGGGCGUAAAGAGCACGUAGGCGGUUUUUCAAGUCAGAUGUGAAAGCCCGGGGCUUAACUCCGGAAGUGCAUUUGAGACUGAAGGACUUGAGUAUGGGAGAGGGAAGUGGAAUUCCUGGUGUAGCGGUGAAAUGCGUAGAUAUCAGGAGGAAUACCAGUGGCGAAGGCGACUUCCUGGACCAAUACUGACGUUGAGGUGCGAAGGCGUGGGGAGCAAACAGGAUUAGAAACCCUUGUAGUCC